UAAGUUAUUGGUACAACCACAGAGAGCACAAGUCUCAGAACUGCUAGGUUUGAAGUAGAACUUCCUUGUAGGCAUGAAGUAAAGACCCACAUUCUAGUCAUGCUGUAAUCUAAGAUCUGUUGGAUUUCUUACAGAAGUGAGGAGAGAUGAUGGAUGGUUUCCUCCCCAUAAAGCUGCUGAUUGAAUUCAUUCUCUUUCUUGAAGACUUUGCUCAGAAAACCCCAAAUGGAGUCACAGAUGGAUGGACAUGAUUGAAAACUUACUGAACAACAACAAAAAUAUUUUAGGAAAAUUUCUUGUGAAGCUAUAUGGAGAAUGAAAAGGAGCGAGAGAAGAGUGGAGGUAAGUAGACAAAUUAAAAGGGUAAAACAGUCCAUAUUGGAGAGUUAUGUUAGGUUAUGAGUGUCUGAACUAAAGUAAUAAGAGAAGGAUUUAGGUGUGAAAGCUGUUAUAGAGGUAUAUGCAACAAGAUUUGGCAAGUGAAUUGACUAUUUGGGUGAGAGUGAGUUGACAAGGAUAACAACCAAGUUCUGAGUCUGAGGUACUAGAAAGAUAAUCUCCUCAAUAGCAAUAGAGAGGAUUGGUUCUUGAUUGAGUUUGGAAGGAAA
rnacentral:lncRNA from 1 species